UACAGAGGUCCCAAGCGUUGUUCGGAUUCACUGGGCGUAAAGGGUGCGUAGGUGGCAGGGUAAGUUUGAUGUGAAAUCUCCGAGCUCAACUCGGAAACUGCAUUGAAUACUAUCCUGCUUGAGGAUUGGAGGGGAGACUGGAAUUCUCGGUGUAGCAGUGAAAUGCGUAGAUAUCGAGAGGAACACCAGUGGCGAAGGCGAGUCCCUGGACAACUCCUGACACUGAGGCACGAAAGCUAGGGGAGCAAACAGG
rnacentral:rRNA from 1 species